rnacentral:rRNA from 1 species
GACGAACGCUGGCGGCGUGCUUAACACAUGCAAGUCGAACGGAAAGGCCCUGCUUUUGUGGGGUGCUCGAGUGGCGAACGGGUGAGUAACCCGUGAGUCACCUGCCCUUGACUUUGGGAUAACUUCAGGCAACUGGGGCUACUACCGGAUAGGAGCUCCUGCUGCAUGGUGGGGGUUGGAAAGUUUCGGCGGUUGGGGAUGGACUCGCGGCUUAUCAGCUUGUUGGUGGGGUAGUGGCUUACCAAGGCUUUGACGGGUAGCCGGCCUGAGAGGGUGACCGGCCACAUUGGGACUGAGAUACGGCCCAGACUCCUACGGGAGGCAGCAGUGGGGAAUAUUGCACAAUGGGCGGAAGCCUGAUGCAGCAACGCCGCGUGCGGGAUGACGGCCUUCGGGGUGUAAACCGCUUUCGCCUGUGACGAAGCGUGAGUGACGGUAAUGGGUAAAGAAGCACCGGCUAACUACGUG